CACCUCAUCCAUACACAAUCAUGCUUUCACCCAACAAAUCUUAUCUUGUUUGCGGAGUAUGUCUUCUAUACUUUCAAAAGUAUAGAAUUUGAUAAUAGAAUAUUCGAUUUGAUCGAUCGACUCUAUUAGACAUAAUCUACGCUGUUGAAACUAUUUAGAAAUCAAAUUUCAUAAUAUUUCGAUAUCAUUUACCAUGUAAUCAAAAGAUCACAAAAUGACUAUUUUAACGAUCGAGGUGGUACGUUCUUAAGUUUCAACGGUGUAGGACAAUUCAAAUUAUAUGAAACUUUAAUAAAAAAAUUCUACUUAACAUCAAGUAGCAAGAUGAAUACUUCUGAUUUGAAAUUUGAGUAUUUUAUCACUAUUUUUUAUAAGAUUCGUAUUUUUAACUUUUCAUUUUUAGGCUACUCGUUCAUUAGGCAAAUAAAAUCAAUAAAUUACGAAAUUUGGUUUCUAGAGAACUCUAAUGGCUUUAAUUACUUUUUUAGAGAAUAAAGCUGCAAUAAAUAACUAAUAAUAGCACAGAGUACUUGUGAUUUUCUAAAAUUUUUGGUCAAGUAAAAACUACAAUUUACAUAAUUUUUUUUUUGAGUUAAUUGCACCGUAAAUCUCCCAUCUUUACCUAAUUUUUACACUUUAGUCCCAAAAUUUUUAUUUUUAAUCUUUUCUUUUUUGCAAUUAAUUCUCUUAUCUUUACUAAUAGAAAUUGUCGCUUCAGCACGAAUCAAUUAUGUCUUUUUGUUUAUAGAAAAGCUUCAAAUACCAGCCCUGUGCUUUCACACUUUCUCCUUUUAGUACCCUAUAGUUUAAAGUAUAUCAAUUUAGUAUCCUGUGGUUUCAUUUUUAUCUUUUUUUUAUCGAUUCUAUUAAUUUUUUUUGUUAAAUUAGUGACAAAGUUAAAAUUAAAUGGAACUAAAUUGAAUAUUCGAUAAACCUAGGUGUGGUUUCUAAAGUUUUUUGUAUAUAAUUUAACGAAAUAUUAACGAAGAAGCUGACGAAAAGAUAAAAAUGAAAUCAGAGAACAUUAACUUGAUACAUUUUAAACCGCAAGAUACUAAAAUGAGAAAGUACAAAAUCACAUUGGUGGUAUUUAACGUUUACCCUUCUUUUAUUAUUACU
rnacentral:lncRNA from 1 species